GAGGUUGUAGCUCAGUGGUAGAGUGCUCAUCUAACAUGUGUGAGGCACUGGGUUCAAUCCCCAGCACCACA
rfam:Ictidomys tridecemlineatus contig001085, whole genome shotgun sequence.